rnacentral:rRNA from 1 species
CCUACGGGAGGCUGCAGUGAGGAAUAUUGGUCAAUGGGCGCGAGCCUGAACCAGCCAAGUAGCGUGAAGGAUGACUGCCCUACGGGUUGUAAACUGCUUUUAUAAAGGAAUAAAGUGAGGCACGUGUGCCUUCUUGCAUGUACCUUAUGAAUAAGCACCGGCUAACUCCGUGCCAGCAGCCGCGGUAAUACGGAGGAUCCGAGCGUUAUCCGGAUUUAUUGGGUUUAAAGGGAGCGGAGAUGGGUUGUUAAGUCAGUUGUGAAAGUUUGCGGCUCAACCGAGAGAUUGCAAUUGAUACUGGCGGCCUUGAGUGCGGUUGAGGUAGGCGGAAUUCGUGGUGUAGCGGUGAAAUGCUUAGAUAUCACGAAGAACUCCGAUUGCGAAGGCAGCCUGCUGAACUGCAACUGACGCUGAUGCUCGAAAGUGUGGGUAUCAAACAGGAUUAGAUACCCCAGUAGUC